rnacentral:rRNA from 1 species
GACGAACGCUUGCGGCGUGCUUAACACAUGCAAGUCGAACGGAAAGGCCCUGCUUUUGUGGGGUGCUCGAGUGGCGAACGGGUGAGUAACACGUGAGUAACCUGCCCUUGACUUUGGGAUAACUUCAGGAAACUGGGGCUAAUACCGGAUAGGAGCUCCUGCUGCAUGGUGGGGGUUGGAAAGUUUCGGCGGUUGGGGAUGGACUCGCGGCUUAUCAGCUUGUUGGUGGGGUAGUGGCUUACCAAGGCUUUGACGGGUAGCCGGCCUGAGAGGGUGACCGGCCACAUUGGGACUGAGAUACGGCCCAGACUCCUACGGGAGGCAGCAGUGGGGAAUAUUGCACAAUGGGCGGAAGCCUGAUGCAGCAACGCCGCGUGCGGGAUGACGGCCUUCGGGUUGUAAACCGCUUUCGCCUGUGACGAAGCGUGAGUGACGGUAAUGGGUAAAGAAGCACCGGCUAACUACGUGCCAGCAGCCGCGGUGAUACGUAGGGUGCGAGCGUUGUCCGGAUUUAUUGGGCGUAAAGGGCUCGUAGGUGGUUGAUCGCGUCGGAAGUGUAAUCUUGGGGCUUAACCCUGAGCGUGCUUUCGAUACGGGUUGACUUGAGGAAGGUAGGGGAGAAUGGAAUUCUUGGUGGAGCGGUGGAAUGCGCAGAUAUCAGGAGGAACACCAGUGGCGAAGGCGGUUCUCUGGGCCUUUCCUGACGCUGAGGAGCGAAAGCGUGGGGAGCGAACAGGCUUAGAUACCCUGGUAGUCCACGCUGUAAACGGUGGGUACUAGGUGUGGGGUCCAUUCCACGGGUUCCGUGCCGUAGCUAACGCUUUAAGUACCCCGCCUGGGGAGUACGGCCGCAAGGCUAAAACUCAAAGGAAUUGACGGGGCCCCGCACAAGCGGCGGAGCAUGCGGAUUAAUUCGAUGCAACGCGUAGAACCUUACCUGGGUUUGACAUGGAUCGGGAGUGCUCAGAGAUGGGUGUGCCUCUUUUGGGGUCGGUUCACAGGUGGUGCAUGGCUGUCGUCAGCUCGUGUCGUGAGAUGUUGGGUUAAGUCCCGCAACGAGCGCAACCCUUGUUCACUGUUGCCAGCACGUUAUGGUGGGGACUCAGUGGAGACCGCCGGGGUCAACUCGGAGGAAGGUGGGGAUGACGUCAAGUCAUCAUGCCCCUUAUGUCCAGGGCUUCACGCAUGCUACAAUGGCUGGUACAGAGAGUGGCGAGCCUGUGAGGGUGAGCGAAUCUCGGAAAGCCGGUCUCAGUUCGGAUUGGGGUCUGCAACUCGACCUCAUGAAGUCGGAGUCGCUAGUAAUCGCAGAUCAGCAACGCUGCGGUGAAUACGUUCCCGGG